UACAGAGGUGGCAAGCGUUGUUCGGAAUUACUGGGCGUAAAGGGCGCGUAGGCGGCCUUCUAAGUCAGACGUGAAAUCCCCCGGCUUAACCUGGGAACUGCGUCUGAUACUGGGAGGCUAGAGUGCGGGAGAGGGAUGCGGAAUUCCAGGUGUAGCGGUGAAAUGCGUAGAUAUCUGGAGGAACACCGGUGGCGAAGGCGGCAUCCUGGACCGACACUGACGCUGAGGUGCGAAAGCGUGGGGAGCAAACAGG
rnacentral:rRNA from 1 species